rnacentral:rRNA from 1 species
GUGGGGAAUUUUGGACAAUGGGCGAAAGCCUGAUCCAGCCAUGCCGCGUGCAGGAUGAAGGCUCUCGGGUUGUAAACCCCUUUCAGCAGGGACGAAUCAAGACGGUACCUGCAGAAGAAGCCCCGGCUAACUACGUGCCAGCAGCCGCGGUAACACGUAGGGGGCGAGCGUUGUCCGGAUUUAUUGGGCGUAAAGAGCUCGUAGGUGGCUGAGUAAGUCGGAUGUCAAAUCCCCAGGCUCAACCUGGGAUCCCAUCCGAUACUGCUCUGGCUAGAGUCCGGUAGGGGAGCGUGGAAUUCCUGGUGUAGCGGUGAAAUGCGCAGAUAUCAGGAGGAACACCAGCGGCGAAGGCGGCGCUCUGGGCCGGUACUGACACUGAGGAGCGAAAGCGUGGGUAGCAAACAGGAUUAGAAACCCGGGUAGUCC